AUCUUAUAUAUGAUUAUGAGAUGUCAUCUUUAUUUUUAUGAAAUUGACACGUUGAUAAAAAAUACACAUGUAUUUUAUAAUGUAGCACUAGUUCUUGACCCAUGCUGGUCUUUAACGUACACCCCACCCCUACAAGAAUGAAAAUUUAGCACAAAAUGCAUCCAACACAAAUUCUUGAAUAGAUAGUUUCGAGAGAUAAAUUCAGUUAUUCUUGCCCCAGUUUCUUCUGUAUAGAUCUUCACAAUAUACAUAACAAGGAAUGUUAUGCAUUUCGUUAAACAUUAAUACAUAUGUAUAUUCUUUUAUGAAAAUGAAUAAUCUUGAGAGAACAAAAUAAGAUUACUAUAUAUAAACACAAUCGACAUGCAGGAAAAAAACAUAUACAAAAUUAACCAAAUAGGCAUUUUUAUAAAUAUUUCCUCUUGAUAAAAAUAAUUUCAUAUCUGUCAUUCCACCCGUUUCUUGCAGUUGGCCAAAUACAGAUUAGAGACCAAGAAGCCCUAUAAUAUAUUGUAUACUUCUAUACUGAGGUAGUAUCCUACUUCUACAAAUCCAAAAAUAGCUCCUCACACAAAUUUCAUACGCUACACAAUCCACUUUAUCAAUUACUUCUGCCAAAAUGUAUGUUUUCAGUUGUGUGUGUAUAUUUGUGUCGACAAGAUCACAUUAAAUACUGCAGUUCGAUUUUCACCUCAAUUUUGACAAAGACGGGCUUGAUGGCAGACAUGGGGGGGAUACAAUUUUUAACUGUGUGGAUGUGGAUGAGAUUUUGUGUUGUGGAGACAUUGUUUGGAAAAGUUGGAGAUAGAGAGAUAAACCUAAUAGAGCAGAUAAACUUUGUGUAGAUUAGAUGAAGGGAAUCUUGGUGGAGAAUUGUGGGUCUUCAAAAACUUGUUUUGUUUUUGUCAGGAGUUUAUCUUGUUCAGCAGGAAAAUUCCAUGAAAUGUGUCAUGAAAAUAAAUACUUCAUUCAAUGAGAUGGACCUUGUCAUAAGGUAUGAAGUAAAAAGCUCACAUGACCCAAUUUAAAAUUCUGAAAUGCCAUCUUGAUUGAAUGAAGCCCCAAUACAUUGGUCAAGCAAAUAUACUUUCCAAAAUAAAAAAAAGAAGCAAUGUUAGUAUACAAAAUGGGCUAUAUAUCAUUAAAAGCAAGAAAAUUCAACACAGUAACUUAUUGCAAAUCACAGUAUAAAACAUUAAACAAUAAGUACUGACCAAAUGCUAAAUAGUCAAGACACAUCCAAAAGUACGAUACACAUGACUAGUUGUAUGGCAAAUGAAGAAAGGUGAAUGGGCUGUGGGGCCCUUUAAUGCUAUCACAUUUAUUUACAGGUGAAAACAAUCUGUUGUCACUUUCAUUUUCUGAUGAAAUUUUUAUGACAACCAUCUUUUUAAAAAAGAAACCAGUUAGCAACUGAAUUCAUCAUCAGUCAAUUUUCCAUGAUAAAUAACAGAAAAAUCAUGAUUCUUUAAGGGAGCAAAGAUCAUUGCAAAGCACAUCAGUCGUCAUGGGAAACAGAUUGCGACAUUUUGCGUGAUUUUUUAGCAUCUGACAAAAACAUUUAGCACAGGUCAAGCUCAAUCUAUCUCUGUUUUAAUCAAUUCCUCAAGUACUGAGGUACUCCACUCAAUCAAUACAUAAAUCUUGAUAUACUGAAUUGAUAAAGCAGUUUUAAUACAGCAAGCUUAGAGACACGGAAAGCUGAUGAUGAGAUUCUAGCAGUGUUCUAGGAUACAACCCAUUUCACAGGCACAACAUAUCCUCAAUAUCUCUAAAGAAAGCAAACUGGAAUGGUAAAUGUAUGAUGUUUAAAACAACAAUGUGAUUAUCAUUCAAUAUUCUAACAAUGACCCUUUCUCAGGUACGUUAAUAUCUACUUUUUGAAUUCUAUUGGUGCCCACCUUUUAUCUUUGUGAAAGUUUUUACGAGUACGAUGAAG